rnacentral:rRNA from 1 species
AUCUACUGCACUGCCUGCACUUAAAUAUUAAUUUUUGGUUUCUGAUCACUAAAGUUAAGCAGUGUAGAGCCUAGUUUGUACUUAGAUGGGUGACCAUUUGGAAAACCGUGGUGCUGUAAGCA